UACGUAGGGGGGCUAGCGUUGUCCGGAAUCAUUGGGCGUAAAGCGCGUGUAGGCGGUCCGGUAAGUCCGCUGUGAAAGUCGGGGGGCUCAACCCUCGGAUGCCGGUGGAUACUGUCGGGCUUGAGUACGGAAGAGGCGAGUGGAAUUCCUGGUGUAGCGGUGAAAUGCGCAGAUAUCAGGAGGAACACCGAUGGCGAAGGCAGCUCGUGGGCGUGACGUCGACUGA
rnacentral:rRNA from 1 species